rnacentral:rRNA from 1 species
UUCUAACCUAAGCUUAUAUUGCCUGCCUUCUUAUAAAUCAAACUCCUAUUUAAAAAAACACUUAUCGUGUCUUCUAUAAAGUACACAAAAUAUAAAUAUAAUACAUACAGGCUAUAGUAUAAAGUAUUGUAAAAGAAAUUAACAAACAUUAAUUAAAAAAUAGAAAAUAAACUGCCUUGUGUAUUAGAAAAAAUCAAAAUUAUAUACUUAUAAUAUACAUCCCGAAAUAAGGAGAGCUAGGUUGCUUAUUAAAAUUUGUAUAACAAAAUAAUUUUUAAUUCCAACAUAGUAGUGAAACUCUAAACGAGCCUUAUAUAUCUGGUUUUUUUGAAAAAAAAUUCAAUUUAUUAUUUACUUACACCUAAGUAAAAAACAAGCCCAGGAGGGUAAGCUUCUUGGGAGACUCAAGUACAUAACAAAAAUAUAAAGUAAACAAUCUAAGCUUAAAAGUAGCUACGAUAGUAAAGUGUUUAAACUAUAUUUCACAUAUUUAUAUUUUAUAGCCUUAUUACAAAAAAAAACAAAAACAUUUUUUUAAACAAAGAAUUUAAAAGAUAAUGAUUUUACUAGUAUACAACAUUAAUAUCUAAUCCUCCUGAAUAAAAUCAGCUUACAACCCACUUAUAAAACACCAAAUAUUUAACCAAGGAACUCGGCAAGCAUUAUUUUUGCCUGUUUAUCAAAAACAUGUCUGCUUGAAACUACAAACAGUCUGACCUGCCCACUGAAAUUUCUUUAAAGGCCGCGGUACCCUGACCGUGCGAAGGUAGCAUAAUAAUUAGUCUUUUAAUUGAAGAAUAGAAUGAAAGGUCGAACAAAAAAUAACCUGUCUCAGUUUAAAACAUUGAAUCUAACUUUUAAGUGAAAAGGCUUAAAUAACCUAGGGGGACGAUAAGACCCUAUAAAACUUUAUAUUUAUAAAAAUAGUUAUGUGAAUUAUUCUUUUAAAACAAUCUAUAUUUAAUACAUAUUUCAUUGGGGUGAUGAGAGCAUAAAAUCCAACUGCUCUAAUUUUAAACAAUAAUAUUUGAUUUUAUGAUCCUUCUCAAGAUUAAAAGAAAAAGUUACUUUAGGGAUAACAGCGUUAUUUUUUUUAAGAGUCCUUAUCGACAAAAAAGUUUGCGACCUCGAUGUUGAAUUAAAAUAUCCUUAUAGUGCAGCAAUUAUAAAGGAAGGUCUGUUCGACCUUUAAAAUUUUACAUGAUUUGAGUUCAGACCGGCGCAAGCCAGGUUGGUUUCUAUCUCCUAGAAAAAAAAAACUAUCUUAGUACGAAAGGAUUUUAUAGUUAAAAAAUUUUUUUAAACAUGAGUAAUAAUAACCCAUAAAGC